AUGAGCGGACCCGCCGAGCCGCCCGAGUCACACGCGAGUUCACCGGGCGAGGAGGAGGAGGAGGACGCGGCGGUGGAGCGCGCCAUCGAGGCGGCUCUGCGCGCCGCGGUGCGCGCGGUGCGCGGCGCGUGCGGCCGCAGGGUGCGCGUGUUCCAGAGCAUGGUGGCCGACAGGGACCGGGAGAUCUGGAGGCUGGAGGGCAGACUGGAGAGGAGCGAGCAUGAGCUGAGGCUGCUGCGCGUGGAGCUGCGCCUGAGGCACGCGCAGCCGGGGGCGCGCGCUCCUUCCGGCGAGACGCAGCUGGAGUUCGGCGAGCCGGUUUCCGAUAGCGAGAGUCGAGAUGCCACAGCGCCCACGCCGAUUCCCAAAGAGGGCCGCGGCGCGGUGGGGGCCUUUCCCCGCCAACACGAGCAGACCGAGACGCCUUUGUGCGAGGGUGGGGGAGCAGCCGGAGACCUGCCCUCCCUUAUCAAAGAGGAAUCUUCUGACAUGGAGACGGGCAUCAAAUGGGAGCUGUGUGAGGGGACUUUUCUGGAUGAAAAUGAACAUCUGCACGCGGGGAAACCUGCAAAAGAAAGUAAGCCGCAGACGACAGAGAGAUAGAGGGAAAUACUUUGUGAGCAAAUUAUCAGUAUUCUGAUCUCUUUCCCGAGCACCAGUGGAUUCUGAAAUGAUUUGGCGCAUAAGGUUGAGAAAAAGAGAGGUGGUAAAACGUGCCUCCCACACAGCCGCAGGUUCUCCUCACGUGGCUGGUGGUAAAAGCUCACAGAGGGUUCCCUUCUGUGAAAGGGUCAUCUGGGAUGAAGGAGAGCCGGCUCCAUUGAGUUGGAGAAGCUGCGAGGCUUCUCCUUUUUGCAUACCCGUAUCCGGCGGCACCACAUUGUACUUUUUGCAAUGAUCCAAACAUCCCUGUCACCGUUUCACCGGCCGUCUAUUUCCCCUCAUUCAGCGGUGGAAGAUGACAUGGCCACUCUUAUCAAGGAGGCGCUGUGGAGGUCCACACCAGCAGUGCACACGAAUG
ensembl:lncRNA